AAGAUCUGUGGAGAGCAUUUAAAAAUUUCAGUGAUGAUCAGUUGCUUGGAGCUAUAACGCUUUUGUGGAGAAUCUUCAGUGACAAACCUUUCACCGAGCUUGAAAAGAUGGCCCAUUUCGCUGGACGGGGUUUCAACUCUGGUCUUCUGCUCCUCAAUCUUACGCGCAUCAGGAGCCAGGCUGAGAAAUGGCAGGCCGCCCUCCAGUCGGCCUUGGAAUUUGCUCAACCUGAACUUAGCGACCAGAAAGUUUUCAACAUUAUGAUGAAUUUAAAUCCUGAACAUUUCUACGAGAUGGACUGCGAAUGGAAUUUCCGCAGAGGUUACUGCAUAAACAUCACCCAUCGUUGCCCGGGGAUGGUAGCCAACGGCGUCAAUGUCGUUCAUGGAAAUA